rnacentral:rRNA from 1 species
AUUGAACGCUGGCGGCAGGCCUAACACAUGCAAGUCGAGCGAGCGGCGGACGGGUGAGUAAUGUCUGGGAAACUGCCUGAUGGAGGGGGAUAACUACUGGAAACGGUAGCUAAUACCGCAUACCAUCAGAUGUGCCCAGAUGGGAUUAGCUAGUAGGUGGGGUAACGGCUCACCUAGGCGACGAUCCCUAGCUGGUCUGAGAGGAGUACCAGCCACACCGGACAGGCGACACGGUCCAGACUCCUACGGGAGUCAGCGGUGGGGAAUAUUGCACAAUGGGCGCAAGCCUUAUGCAGCCCUGCCGCGUGUGUGAAGAAGUCCUUCGGGUUUUAAAGCACUUUCAGCGGGGAGGCGUUACCCGCAGAAGAAGCACCGGCUAACUCCGUGCCAGCAGCCGCGGUAAUUC